UACGGAGGAUCCGAGCGUUAUCCGGAUUUAUUGGGUUUAAAGGGUGCGCAGGCGGGAGAUUAAGUCGGCGGUGAAAUUUUGCAGCUCAACUGUAAAAGUGCCUUCGAAACUGGUUUUCCUUGAGUGUAGAUGAAGUAGGCGGAAUUUGUGGUGUAGCGGUGAAAUGCAUAGAUAUCACGAGGAACUCCGAUUGCGCAGGCAGCUUACUAAACCAUAACUGACGCUCAGGCACGAAGGCGUGGGGAUCAAACAGGAUUAGAUACCCUGGUA
rnacentral:rRNA from 1 species